CAGUCUGCCCUAAGACCCCAAAUGUUGUAAGACAGGAAGUGCUACAAGUUGCCUCAUGAAUAUAUUAAUGAGAACAGUUUUUCUUUGUUUCUGAUAAAAGUAAAGGUUUUUAGAGCUAUCUAAGUUGAAAUAUGUAAUAAGAAGACAGUUUAACAUACGAUAAACACUUUAAAAUAUGAAUUUGGGUCAAACUGGCAUUAAGUUGUGAAAACGAUUGCGGAAAGUUCGAGAGUUUGAGCAAGCUGUUCACCAUCAACGUAGCAAGCUAAAAAUUGGUUGAUCAAAUCAAAAGGAUCUAAAUUACAACAUAUUCAAGGUAAAUGCCAUACAAAUGAAUGGUGUUUGCAAAGCAGUUACACAAACUUUGAAAUAAAUACACAACUUGGCAAUAGCAUAGAACACUUCAUGAAUGACUUCAAGCCUUCUAGCUUGCUGCUAAGCAUGCACAUGCAUCAGAUGCACUAGUUGAUCCUUUAGGCAGUCUCUGGUUCCAUUCACAUCUGGAGAUAUGCAGCCAUGAGUUCCACCAACCACAGAGAUUAUUCAGAAUGAGCUAACUUUGAGAGUUUGCGCAAGCUGUUCACACUAUCUCAAUCCAGUCCAAACUUGCUGAGUCAAUACAUUCCAUAUUGAACUAAUUUAUCUCCUAGUAACAAGUUCUAGUUCAGUAAAUGGUCUGUGUUAUGAGCUUUGGAAAUUCAGAAAAAAAUCACCCUUCACUACAAUCUGACAGAGUUGUAGGGUGCAUCAUUAUGAAUCUCAUUAUAUAAUUAUGAAUUUCAUUAAAACAAUGUUUUUGUGAUGUCAUCCUUAUGAAACCAUUAAAAUACUUGUGGUAUGUAUUUCCUGUCUUGUCUUGCAAAUACUGAAAACUUGGGGGUCUUAGGGCAGACUGAACAGUGCAGUGCAGUACAGUGCCAUCAGCAAAUCAAGAAUGUUUAUGACCAGAAGCUCAAUUCGCCUGGGAUGGCAAACUCUAGCCAACUCUUCUUAAGGCCACUAAAAGAUUGAUCAGCUUACCAGGAGGUGACAGGCAGCGUACAAAGUAUGACCACCAGUACCUUGAUGUUGAGGAAAAGAGACUUUGUAGUUUACAUUGCAAACAUUGAUUAUUAUUAAUUUAUUGUACAUACAUGUCAUGUAGGCUUAAUCAUAUAAUUAUACUAUACAUUCA